AACUUGUUAAUCAUAAAAAGAUUUGUAAGGAUUCUUGUUGGGUUUCUGCAGUUGAGGAUAUAAUAAUUCAAGAGUUGCAGGGAUUGUUGGUAAUAUAUGAGAUUAGAAGUUUCAAGUUAAAAAAACAGAGCACAAAACCAGGUUCUUUUGUUCCUUGCUCGAGUAAUUGAAUACAUGCUGUGAUUAUUUGAGGUUCAAGUUUCUCUGACUGAGUUGCAAUCCAAGAUUAACACUUGAGUUCAAGUUGUUACCUUUAAUACUCCCAUUUCGGUUGUGGAGCUCUGAAAGUGGCAGCCAUGGAAACUCUGAGAAUUUUCUCUGUUCCAUCACUUCAUAUACCAGCUAAAUUUGAUAAAACCCAAUCCAAAAAAGGCACUCUUUUGGGGUUUAAGCAAACACCACGUUCAUCAUUCUCAUUAGUUCAAAGACACAAACCCACAUUUAAGACAUUCACCACCAUGUCAUCUUCUAUUACAACUGACACUGAAAACCCAUCAGCACCACAGGUUGAAACUCAGACCCAAGAUGAGAAGUUUGACUGGUAUGCCCAUUGGUAUCCAUUGAUGCCGGUUUGUGACCUUGACAAAAGGGUACCACAUGCAAAGAAAGUUCUGGGCAUUGAUGUGGUCAUGUGGUGGGACAAGAAUGAGAGUACAUGGAAGGUGUUUGAGGAUGCAUGUCCUCACAGAUUGGCUCCAUUGUCUGAAGGGAGGAUUGAUCAGUGGGGAAGGUUACAAUGUGUUUAUCAUGGCUGGUGUUUUAAUGGCUCUGGUGACUGCAAGUUCAUUCCUCAAGCACCUAAGGAUGGCCCUCCGGUAAUUCAAUCAAACCUAGAGAGAUUGCUCGUUAUGCUAAACCUCUAUACAGUAGAAUAUAUUCUAUUGUUCUUCCUCUUGUCGAAGUUCCAUAGUUCUGAUCCUCACUUCAAAGAUAUUCUUGCAGAGAAAAAACCUCCCUAUAUACCAGAACUGGAUGAUCCAUCAUAUACUUGUAUCAUGGGAAAUAGAGAGAUCCCUUAUGGGUAUGAGGUCUUGAUUGAAAAUCUUAUGGAUCCUGCUCACCUUCCAUAUGCGCAUUAUUGAAUAAUGCAAACUCCACAACCCAAAGAGAAGGCUGAUAGAGAAGGGGGCAGACCAUUGGACUUCUAUAUUCCAAAGUUAGACAUGUAUGGUUUCAUCGCAGAGCAGAAUCCGGGUCAGAGUAAAUUUGUGCCACCAUGUGUGUUUUAUGUCUCUCUUUUUGAUCCAAUUGACAAUAGUAAUGGGGCUCCAUCCUCACCUGGAAGUGAAAAGGCCUCAUCAGCCCAGAAGGGCCAAAAGAGAGCUCUUUUAGUUUUCAUAUGCGUUCCGGUCAGUCCAGGUAAUAGCAGAUUGAUAUCGACCUUCCCAGUAAACUUUGGUGUUUUGAUUAAGAUUGUUCCCCGAUGGAUAUAUCACAUUGGACAAAACCUGGUUGUGGACUCGGAUUUAUUUUUGCUUCAUCUUGAGGAAUGUAGGAUAAUGGAUGCUGGUCUGAACCGGUGGCAGAAAGCCUGUUUUGUGCCAACAAAGUCAGAUGCCGUUGUCGUUGGUUUCAGGAAGUGGCUAAACAAGUAUGCUGGUGGUCAGGUAGACUGGAGAGGCAAGUACACGGGGGCUCUUCCCCCAACUCCUCCUAGAGAACAAUUGUUAGACAGGUACUGGUCUCAUGUUGUAAACUGCAGCAGUUGCAGUGCUGCCCACAAAGCUCUUGGCGUGCUUGAAGUUGUGUUGCAGGCCGUUUCAUUAUCUUUACUCGGGAUUGUCACUGCAAUCAAGCAAGGAGUGCUAGCAUCAGCUGUGGCGAGAACUGCGCUGGUUGCAGCAGCUCUACUCUGGUUCGCAGCUUCAAAAUGGUUGGCUCAUUUUAUAUACAAAACUUUUCACUUUCACGACUACAACCAUGCAUUUGUGUAAGAUCGAAUGUUUAGCUUGCGGCGAAAUGUAAUUACCGUAUAUGAUGUAUUGAACGCUAAACACUAUAAAUGAAAGAGAGCAUCACGUACGAACAGAUCAGAACAAUCCCAAAAACCCUAAACCUAGCCAUGGACAUGAUACUAAACAUCCUGCUCUUCUAUCAAUAGUGAUACUAAUACAAAACUGGUACGCACAGUGGCUCGAUUUUCUGUUAGGGGAGUCUAGUGAGAGACAAGGAGAAGAGAAGAAUAGAGGCCUAGAGGGUGAACGAUACAGCUAAUAUAGCAUCACCAUAUCAUGACUGAAUAUGUAAUAUACCACUAUUGUUGUGGUCAUGUUUGA